rnacentral:rRNA from 1 species
GCGGAAAAUUUUCCAUUCGGGCAAACGCAAUAAGGGGACUUCGAGUGCGUGCGCAAUGCGUACGCUUUUCAUAUUCUUAAAAACCAUUUGGAAUAAGGGCCGGGCAAGACCGGUGCCAGCCGCCGCGGUAACACCGGCGGCUCAGUGGUGGCCGCUUUUAUUGGGUUUAAAGGGUCCGUAGCCGGGCUCAGUAAGUCUUCUGGGAAAUCUUACGGUUAACCGUAAGGCUUCCAAGGAUACUGCUGCCUUGGGAGCCCGGGAGAAGCAAUGAACUCCA